GACGAACGCUGGCGGCGUGCUUAACACAUGCAAGUCGAGCGGUAAGGCCCUUUCGGGGGUAUACGAGCGGCGAACGGGUGAGUAACACGUGAGCAACCUGCCCUUCUCUUUGGAAUAAGCGUUGGAAACGACGUCUAAUGCCGAAUAUGACCCCCUGUCGCAUGGUGGGGGGUGGAAAGCUCUGGCGGAGAAGGAUGGGCUCGCGGCCUAUUAGCUUGUUGGUGUGGGUAAUGACCCACCAAGGCGACGACGGGUAGCCGGCCUGAGAGGGUGACCGGCCACACUGGGACUGAGACACGGCCCAGACUCCUACGGGAGGCAGCAGUGGGGAAUAUUGGACAAUGGGCGAAAGCCUGAUCCAGCAACGCCGCGUGAGGGAUGACGGCCUUCGGGUUGUAAACCUCUUUCAGCAGGGACGAAGCGAGAGUGACGGUACCUGCAGAAGAAGGACCGGCCAACUACGUGCCAGCCGCCGCAGUAA
rnacentral:rRNA from 1 species